GAUAUUCGAUUGUUUUCAAUGUCUAUGUUCGAUAUCCCUCUGGUUAGAACGGAGGUUAUUAGGUGGAUUGGAGGUGGGUUAAUUCAUAUAAAUAAGCAUAAGUCAUGUCAAUAGCAGUUAUCUCAGAUUGUUUAUGCUUAAAUGAUUUUGGGUUGUCAAUUGCAUAUUGAUACUUGGUCGUACUCAACACUGUAUGUUGUUCUGAAAUGUGAAGUUCAUUUAUAUAUCUUUUGAAAAUCUUGGAUGCUAAAGAAUUUAAUUUAAUAAAAAGAAAAGAAUCAGAUACUUUCGUUUGUGUUCUGUAUAUCUAGUUAUAGUUCUGUAAUUUCUUUUCCUUUGUUUGGUUCCAAGACAGCAACUUUAGUCCAUUUUUUGUAAGUGAGAAACCUGGGUAGUCUAUGACAUCAAAUAUGUACACAUGGUUGUUUAUUUUCCUAAACCAAUUUGAUUGAGAUCUGUAGUAGCAUGAUCGAUGUUUUUGGACUUCAAAUGGUUGAAGGUCUGUUGUAGAGAUUUUUAAAGUUUCUUUGAAGGGGGAAUGUAAUGUCUAUCUUACUCUUAACAUGGAUCAUACUUAUAUGUGAGCAGAGAAGAUUAUACUAGUUUGAUGAGUUUUUAACUUUUGAUUAGUUGUUAAUCUUGGUUUCUGUUUUGAUCACUGCUGUUCUGCUGCAGAUUUUGAAAAUUAACAAGCACUCUGCUGCACUCCUCAAUGGAAGACAAAGUCAGUUUGGUCGGGUUAUUGGAUCUCAUGUUAAGGACGAAUUGAAGAACUCAAAUUGGUUUUGAACAGCAAACUGAAUAGAAAAGGUUUGGAUUCAAGCUGAAUUGGUUUAGUGCUGAUUGUUUUUUCUGGCUCAAGAGACAGGAUUUCUGGUCAAGGAGAGGAGUGAAGGAGAAAUGGGUUCUGCACUCAGAUGAGUUUUUAGCCUCUCCAAAGUCGGAAACGUUAAAGAUCUUGCAAGAUUAGGUUGUGGUCAAUUGUUAUAAAGUGGGAAAGGAAAUCAAAUCUUGCUUACACACAUAAGGAUAUUGAUGUGGUUCGAGCUGAAUGGGCAAAUCAUGUUAUGAAGUUCUAACUUUGGUUCUGUUUAAGGUAGAUGAGUAGCAUCAGGAACUGCUUUUGUGCAUUUAUAUAUAACUGAUGGAAAGUGUUGAUGAACCUAAAUUAUGCAUGCAGUUGCUUUGCCUAGCUACUCUUUCUUUACCUUAUAGGUUUUUGACUUAGUGCAAUAUUAGGUAAAUGAUCGAGAUCGAUAAGAUGGUUUUUUGGUUCUCUUGAUCAUUAUGUAACUGUU